rnacentral:misc_RNA from 1 species
GAGCCUACAGACAUAUCUGAGAUCACGGGAGCAUUGCAGUUUGAAGUCUGAGUUUCAAGCUGGAAAUGGCAAGAUCACGGUUGACCUCAUUGUGGAUGUGCCCGUGUAUGAAUUGGAGCUUGGGAAACAUGUCUUUCUGAGUGUUGGUGAUUUCUGCUUGAGCAAGAAGAACCUGAAUUAUCCUUGAGACUGAUCCAACAUAUUAGGAGAGUUUAUACAACUUCGGCAGCCCUCAAUUUUUUUUUAUCUAUUUAAGGUCAUAUAAUUUAUUUGUAAAGGUUCGUCAUUUUAGAUGAGAUAUUGGAGGGGCCUUCAGUAGAAAAUGGUUGUGUAAUCG